rnacentral:lncRNA from 1 species
ACAGAGGAGCCUACAGUCCAUAGGGUCGCAGAGGGCUGGGCACGACUGAAGUGCCUUAGGAUGCACGUGGGGUUUGGGAGCAAAGCCAUGGGCCCAAGUAUAGGCCUGUUCGUCAUGUGCAGCUGCACGUUACUGCCCGUGAAAGAGAAAGAGACUCUUCCCAUGUGUGCGCUUGGCCACAAGAUGAUACUUGAGAGGCUUGACUUCAAGAUUAUGAUCACCGUUGCGGGCGGCCUCCUGAUGGCCGCGAGCCUGCUGAUGUGCUUUAUCAUCUGUCUUAGCUACAAAGUGACAAAGUCAAUGAAGGGAGAGAAGAUGGAAAAUGUAACGAGCAAUGACGCUGACAAAAAAGAUAAGAAACCCGCUUUGGAAGCAGGUCAACCUGAGGUUCCGCCAACUCCAGCGUCAAAGCCCCGGUGACAGUCUUGGAGAGAGAUGCCCUGGGGACCCUCAGUCCAGACAGGUGGGGCCCCGGCAUCUCCCAGCCACAGUGCUGCCUUGGGAAGCACAGUCAGCCCGGCUACCUCCCGACUCUGUCCCUUCAGUGUCCACGGUCCCUCGAGGGUAGGAGCCGCCUCUCACCCCCGGGGUCCCCGCACACAGCCCAGACUCCUUAGGUGUCAGGAGUAAUAACCCCCCGUCGCCUUUGCACCAGAUAAACCUCUCAGACACAGCAGUAAAUCAUGAAUAGCAUUAAUUUUGCUGACUGGUAAGAGUAUGUUACGCAUUAGGAUGUUUAGUAAAAUAAUUUCCUGCUACUUUAUUUUCUGAAAACCCAUAUAUAUCACAAUGUCUUUAUUUUACCACCCAUUUGCAUUUAACAUAAUUGCAUAAGCAUUUAACAUAAUAGCUGGCAUGGGGCUAUUAUUUUAACUCAUUAAGUGAGUUACUAUACGUAAUGAAUGAGUUAAAGCCCCUAAAAUGUGGAAUGGUGACUGAGAACACAUCCUGUAAUUAGGAGCUGGGCUAAGAGGUCCAAAGGAAACAUCUUCAACUCACUGCUGACCACCAGGGCCCGAGGCCCAGCCCUAGUUCAGCACACAGACUCCUGCCCAAUGCUGUACUCUUCUCAAAGGUCUUCCUUCACCAGCACUCUGGGAGUGGGCUGGGGUGGGCACACGAGAGCCCAUGUCAGGGGGAACACAGCACAGCAAACCCUCCCCAGCACCCAUGUUGAACGCCUCCUCCCUGCUCUCUCCUCUCCCACCCCACGUUCUGUCCCUUCUGAUCCUUAAGGACAUGGGAGCUUAAGGCGGGAACUCUCUGAGGGUCGUGUGGGACGCAGGCCUCAUGCUGGUUCCCAGCUGCCACAUUGGGCCUGGGAGGUGCCCUGCACAUCCCCAACCUCAAUGCGGACCCUUCCCAGAUGAGACCUGUGCCUGGUGAGCUCCUGUCCUCAGGCCGCCAUUCCCUCUCUCCCAGCCGCCAGACCACAGACGAUGACCUAGCUUAACUCUGGG